rnacentral:tRNA from 1 species
AUUUAAAUAGUUUAAAUAAAACGUUGGUUUGUGGAACCGGAAAUAUAAUUAAUUAUUUUAAAUA